rnacentral:lncRNA from 1 species
CCAUUUGCCUCUAAUCUCCCGCUCCCGCACCCUCCUCACAGGACACCCCAGCUCCGAGGGACGCUCGAAGUCCUUUCCUCCCGGUGCGCGUCACUUUUGGAGCUGCAGGGAGAACAAACCAGGGUGGUCUGGAACUUGUGGCAAUCCUGUCUUCUGUUUCCUGAAGGCAGGAAUUAUAGGUGCGCAAUCCCACAGCUGGCACUAUUUACUACUUUAAGAAAGAAAUUUCUAUAAGGAUGAUAUCAGAUUAUGAAGAGAGGCUCCCACAGCAGGAACCAGCAGACAGAACCAGUAAACAGUUCCUGAAAUGGUUACAAUAAAUAACUGGAACAAGCAGGAGUACUAACGUGGAUGUGAGAAGAAGCCAAGUAGAAGUUCACAAAUGAAGAUUCUGUGCCUUUGUAUGUAAAGCUAUGGUAAAGUAGAUGUUAGAGGAAACAGGAGGAUGAACUAGAAGUUCCAGUAACAUAAGGAAGGCUGUGUGGAGAUUUAUGGUAGAAGAGAUGGCAUCGUGGCUCAGCAGAGAUGGAAAUUUUAUCAAACACCACUGUGCAAAUGGUUGUCAAUGGAAGACAGAAAAUGUGACUCUCACUUUACAUGAACACAAAAUCCAAGACAGAACGAAACCAAAAAAAGGGACAAACAAAACUUCAACCUUUUAGGGGAAAUGGUAGGAAGCUAUUGUGCCAGGAUGCUAAGGAAGUCUUUAUGGAAUCAGAGAGGAUCACCAGGAAAAGGGUCAUUGUGUUACCUCAGGCAGAGUAGUGGAGCCGGACAUGCACCUUAUAGCAGGUAAAAGCUAAUCUCCGUGGUACAGGCUCAGAUAUGUACUGAAAGUAUAGCACUUUCAUUUUUACGUAGUUUUAGGCUAGCUGUCCAAAUCUUUGGUUUCAUUUUGACAUUUUCAUUCAUGGGCAUCACAUUGUCUGCUUCCUCCCACAUGCCAUACUAUAUAUUGAACAUCGAGAAGAAAAAAAAAAAGAGUAAACUUAUUAUCUUAAAUUAAGCAACAGUUCUUUAAACAUAGCAUCAAAAGCACAAAUGUGAAUGAAAAACAAGAUAAAUUAGACUCUGAAAAUUGGUUCAUUAAAGUGCAGUAACAUAAAAAGACAAAGAUAACUUGAAACCAUAUCUAAUAAUGUACUAGUAUCCAUGAUGAACAGAGAUAAUUAAAUUAAAAGUAAGCAAAGGGUUUGAAUUAAUAUUUAGUCACAAAGACAUACUGAUGGCCACUAGGCUCAUGAAGAUAUGGUCGGCAUAGCUAGAUAAAUGAACAUCAAAGCCACCAUAACACAGUACAUCAUCUCAUAUCCACUAGAAUGGCUUUGAUUAGAAAAGAGGGUCAGUUGGAAUGCCGAAGAGUACAUGUCAAAAUUAGAAUCUUCAUUCACGGCUGGUGCGGAUGCCAAAUGGUUCAGCUGCUGCUCUGGUGUGCUUUCCUCCAACAUGACAUGACUGUUGCCUUCUUGAACACUCAGCAGCUGUGAAUGCCUAAUUGAGAUCCUCAAAAGACUGGGCUCAAUAACAUUCAGUAAUGGGGUAAGGGGCUCAUACAGCCCCACCUUUUCAUGAUGACAUAUAAGUAACUCACACAGGCUGGCUGCUGGGACAGGGACUUCUCUUGGGUUGUGUAGCUGUUUCUGAUUUGUCCAUGUUUCUGUAGGUACCUCCUCACACAUGCUUAUGUAAGUAAUCACAAUUAAAUUCAUUAAUUUACCAAGA